CAAUUCCUUCUUUCUUUCUUUAAGGACUUCUGGCACAGUGGCCUGCACUGUUCGAAGUCUGUAAGAUCAGUGCUGAAUUCAAAAUAAUCACCACAGUUCCCCUGCAAUCCAAGCAACUGUUGCUGAAUUGGCUGAUUUGUACAAGAUGCACCAUUUCUGAGGACUUCUGGCACAGUGGCCUGCACUGUUCAAAGUUCGCAAGAUCAGUGCUGAAUUGAAAAGAAUCACCAGUCCCACUGCAAUGGCCAGCACUGUUCGAAGUCCACAAGGUCAUGGAUGAAGUUGCCGUAGACGAAGCAAUUGAAGACAUCACAAUUGGAAUCUGCUCUGACAGAAGAUUGGGCAUCCCACCCUUUGGACAUUGUCAGUUUUAGUGUAUGUCUGUCACACACGUGACACCCAAUCGGAAAGGACUCUUUUUUUUUCAGCAACUAAAAAACAGCAGUUAUUUUUGUUUCUUUAAGUGAAAUGUACCUUUUUUCUAGAGAUCUAUUUGC